rnacentral:rRNA from 1 species
UACGUAGGGGGCAAGCGUUGUCCGGAUUUAUUGGGCGUAAAGAGCGUGUAGGCGGCCAGAUAGGUCUGUUGUGAAAACUCGAGGCUCAACCUCGAGACGCCGAUGGAAACCAUUUGGCUAGAGUCCGGAAGAGGAGAGUGGAAUUCCUGGUGUAGCGGUGAAAUGCGCAGAUAUCAGGAGGAACACCGGUGGCGAAGGCGGGUCUCUGGGCAGUAACUGACGCUGAGGAGCGAAAGCGUGGGGAGCGAACAGG